rnacentral:rRNA from 1 species
UACGAAGGGGGCUAGCGUUGCUCGGAAUUACUGGGCGUAAAGCGCACGUAGGCGGAUUGUUAAGUCGGGGGUGAAAUCCUGGAGCUCAACUCCAGAACUGCCUUCGAUACUGGCGAUCUCGAGUUCGGGAGAGGUGAGUGGAACUGCGAGUGUAGAGGUGAAAUUCGUAGAUAUUCGCAAGAACACCAGUGGCGAAGGCGGCUCACUGGCCCGAUACUGACGCUGAGGUGCGAAAGCGGGGGGAGCAAACAGG